rnacentral:lncRNA from 1 species
UGCUGCAUUGACUGGCUCGCACUGGAACAAGUCCAACUGGCUGAUGCGGUCAGAACCCUUCUAUCGAUUGAUCCAUGGGAGCUCUUUUUUGGGAUCAUCGAGACGACGUACCUCGAGUUCACACUGGAAUUCUGUUCAACAUUCCACUUCCAAACUGUUAUGAUAGAGUGUGAUGAUCCAGGAACGGUCCAAUUCUGCCUCAGUG